AUGAAUUUUUUAAUGGCCGCAGUACCCUGACUGUGCUAAGGUAGCGUAAUCAGUUGGCUUUUAAAUGAAGUCGAGAAUGAAUGGGUCUACGGGGGUAAGCUGUCUCUUUUUGUUAUAAUGAACUUAUUUAGAAGGUGAAAAUCCCUUCAGCAAGAAAAAAGACGAGAAGACCCUUAGAGUUUUAAGAAUAACUAUUGUUUAUAGCUUUUUUUUGCUGGGGCGGCAAGGAGACAUUAAACUCUCCUUUUCAAUUUUGAAGACGUAAAUUUUAAGAAACAUUAAACUACCUUAGGGAUAACAGCAUAAUUAAUUUUUAGUUUGUGACCUCGAUGUUGGACUAGGGAUAGUUUUGGUUAGCAGCCAAAAGGGUUGUUCUGUUCGAACGUU
rnacentral:rRNA from 1 species